UAGCCGUAAACGAUACUCGCUAGGUGUCGGCCACGGUGCGACCGUUGUCGGUGCCGUAGGGAAGCCGUGAAGCGAGUCACCUGGGAAGUACGGCCGCAAGGCUGAAACUUAAAGGAAUUGGCGGGGGAGCACCACAACGGGUGGAGCUUGCGGUUUAAUUGGAUUCAACGCCGGAAAUCUUACCGGGACCGACAGCAACAUGAAGGCCAAGCUGAAGACUUUGCCGGAUUAGCUGAGAGGAGGUGCAUGGCGUAGUCGUGU
rnacentral:rRNA from 1 species